CACCACCAUCCAUGUCCAGAACUUCUUCAUCAUCCCAGACUGAAGCUCCAUACCCAUGGAACAGCAACUUCUCAUUUCUCUCUCCCCCGGCCCCUGCAAACCGUAUUGCUGCUGAACCACUGCUUACAUAAACUUCAAGCGGGCCACUCAAGCUGCCCGACUGCUGCUUAAUGUCCUGAACUGAGCUUGCUUGUCCUGCAGUGUCUACCUAGUGUUUUGUUUUUGUUAGAAAUUCACCUCGCCUUGUCUACUAAGGAGAAAGAAAAGGGAAAUUACACCCCAGAGCUCAGCAAGCCUAUAAAAUGGCAGAGAUUCCUGAAGAAGACUGCCCUGAACCCCAAGGCCCUGGCUGCCUGCGCUGUAAUGAAAUGCAUGACUACGGGAGAUAAUAAUAAUUGCAGCAAUGGCUCGUUACAGCUCCCGGAUGAUUUGGGGCUGUCAGGAGUACGCUGUCCUCUGACAUCCCAGGAGGCGAAUGGCAUCAGUGACUGCAGGCCCUGAUUGGGGCAGUGAAAUAUUGCUGGCAAAAAUUAAAAGGUCCCCGUGUCAAAAUAA